rnacentral:misc_RNA from 1 species
GAUGAAGAACGCAGCGAAAUGCGAUACGUAAUGUGAAUUGCAGAAUUCAGUGAAUCAUCGAAUCUUUGAACGCACAUUGCGCCCGUCAGUAUUCUGGCGGGCAUGCCUGUUCGAGCGUCAUUACGCCCCUCAAGUCCCCUGUGGACUUGGUGUUGGGGAUCGGCGAGGCUGGUUUUCCAGCACAGCCGUCCCUUAAAUUAAUUGGCGGUCUCGCCGUGGCCCUCCUCUGCGCAGUAGUAAAACACUCGCAACAGGAGCCCGGCGCGGUCCACUGCCGUAAAACCCCCCAACUUUUUAUAGUUGACCUCGAAUCAGGUAGGACUACCCGCUGAACUUAAGCAUAUCAAUAAGCGGAGGA